GUUUUACUGUAUUUCUUUUAUGGUGCUAGGGAUGGAACUCAGGGUUUAUGCAUACUCUACAAAGUAUUCUGCCACUGAACUACAGCCAUGUCCUGCUGCUGGAAGUAUUGUAAAUGGGAAAGAUCCAGAACCAAGAUAAUGUGAUGAGAGGUUAAAAAUGAAGAUUCAAUCAACUGUGGCUGAAAUCUCUGGCUCCACCGUCACUAGCAGGUGAUGCUCCAGCAGUCAACUUUGAUAACGCAGAAUUCCAAGUACCAUGAGACUGCCUUUGAACCUCCUGCAACAUUCAUUUGGCCAGGACUCUUGAAGCAAUCUGUGCAGUUUGGAAAUGCAAGGGUCUUGGAGAAAUGCUACACUUAGAAUUUCAUGGGAAGGAGGCAUUGCUUCAUGGGAGGAAGUAGUGAGGAAUAUGGAAACACCUGAUCUCUCUGCCUUCCAACUUCAAAUGUGUGCCAAACUCAAGACCUCCAAAUCAGGCAUGUCUCAGCGAGUCUUUCAUGGUGCUUCCAGAAGUGUAGGGUGA
rnacentral:lncRNA from 1 species